GUUUUCGAACAACGAAGCAGUAACAGCAAUAUUGGAAAAGUUCCUGUGGAGCGCAGAAAGCUAGAUACAAUUGAUACCACAGCUGUAAUCAGCGCCAUACUUGAAAAUGCCAAUAAUUCUGUUUUGGAAAAUAUGAAACUGCCAGAAUUUGCCCUAAAUGACUGUUGUAAAGAAAUCAUAGAGAUGCUAUUCUGGAUGCUGCAGCAGUGAAUCAGUCAGUGACGAAAUGGCAGAAUCUCAGGAAAUUGAGAAUUACAGUUCUAGAAUAUAUUCAGUCUAUACUUAUGCUAAAGAAAACUGGUCUGAGAAGGCAAUUAAUUACUUUUGGCCAAAAAUCUUCAGUAGUAAAUUCACUGAGCAUGGAAAGAAAUAUGAGCAGCAUGCAUUAAAUGCUUAUAAAAAGCAAUAUUCAUUAUGUGAAGUGCAUACUGUUGGUUUUGUUAUCAAUAAAAGAUAUCCUUGGUUUGGAUAUUCACCAGAUGGGAUUAUUUUUGAAAAUGGAAAACCCAUUAAACUUCUG